GAGUUUUGCUCUUGUUGCCCAGGCUGGAGUGCAAUUGCUCACCGCAACCUCCAUCUCCUAGGUUCAAGCAAUUCUCCUGCCUCAGCCUCCUGAGUAGCUGGGAUUACAGGCAUGCGCCACCAUGCCCAGCUAAUUUUGUAUUUUUAGUAGAGAUAGGGUUUCUCCAUGUUGGUCAGGCUGGUCUCGAACUUCCAGCCUCCGAUGAUCUGCCUGCCUCGGUCUUCCAAAAUGUUGGGAUUACAGGCGUGAGCCACUGUGCCCGGCCCAGAUGGUCUCUUUAGAGGACACGUUGACAGCUGAUGGGGCAGCCACAGCGAGGAGGGGCCUCUAGACCCCAUGUGGGCCUUCUCCAAUUCAUAGGUGAUAUGCUGUGUGCGUGGGUCCCAAGCACAGGAAGUUGGGCCAGGCAGGGAAGUCCGUGGGUCACAGCUGCAGGGUCCCUGCAGGUUAUGGAGCAGGACAAGCCCCUCCCUUGACCUCAAAUCCCAACCUCUGGGACAGAAAGAGGUGACCUAGCUGGUCUCUGAGGAUCCUUCUUUCCCUCCAGUUUCCCAGCUAAAAUGCCCAACUGGUGUCUUGGGCUCCAGACGGCAUCCCAGACUGAGAUCCCUGCCUCUGGGUGCCUGGCUGAUUCAGUGCUGCUCUGCUGUUUGCCACAGAUGCCAGCUAGGGAAGAUCCAGAAGGAAGGCUGGCUGAUGAGCCUGGCAGACCCAAACAGGGCCCCAUGCUGCAACCUGCCAGCCUGCCUUCUGAGGGUCUAGACAGCUCCUCUUAAAGGGACAGCUCCAUUUUUCCAGCCUGCUGAACCCAGAGUUGGAGGAGAUUGAGAAAGGAAGACAGGAAGAAGGGCUCUGGCCCUGGCUUGCCCCACUUUUUCUCUGUGGGCCCCGGGAUGACCACUUCGCUACAUGCCUCAGUUUCCCCAUUUCUAAUUAUCUACCUUCUGCAGGCCAAACACCUGCACGGCUGACUUUCUGCUCACAGAAUGGGGCAGGUAGUGGUGGUAGCUGCUGCAGGGGGUGGGGACGGGGUGGUGAGGGAAGUGACUUGCCCAGGUGAUGGGGGGGACCAGCAUCCUGGGACAACCCAGGGCUUGGGAUCUGGGUUUAGUGUACCUGGUGUGUGUAGGAGCAGGGCCACCACCGGACCGAGUGUUGUGAUGCACAGAUGCUGGAGGUGUGUACUCUAAGAGCAUGAGCUGCCUUUUGGAGAACUGGUGAUGCAUGCGAUAGCUCUGUGUGGGCUGCCAUGGUGUCUUGGGGUGAGGUUGCACCCGCAGACCAGCCCUGGGUCCUCUCCAGGGUCCAGUGCCUCCCCGAUCCUGGAGGAGGGGGAAGCCACCCUCUUCCGUUGUCUCUCAAUACAAGAUGAUUCGUCCUCACUUGCCACUCCUCCCGGGCCCCUCCCAUCUUGCCAGGGCCUGAAUCUGGGCUCUUAGCUCCGGGCUGGGGCCACCCUCAACACACACAACCCCUCUCAAACCCCAGAGACCCGGACACACUCAGCGGCCCCCUCCUCCACACACGGUCCGCCGGCCUCACCCAGCCCUCACGCCAGCCGGCCGCCCUCUAGACCACUCAAGACCCCGCGCGCAGCAGCCCGUCGCGCCUCGGAACCCGUCCGCGCGCGCCCGAGACCAGCUUCGCCUCGCCUCCCCGGCGGAUACACCCACAGCCCACAGCCCGCCUCCCAGACCCUCCCUGGCCACCAGCCCUGGGGCUGCCGCCUCCUUCUCUCGUCUGGCGCAGGAGCGGCAGCAGCUCAGGCGCGCCCUGGCCGCCGCGCGGAGCGUGGACUGGAUUUCAUGGGGCCUGGAGCCACCGCACUCAGAGCUUGAAGGGCGCGGGCGCAGCCGGCCGCCGCCCGGCCUCGGAGCCAGCCUCGGGCCGGCCAGCCG
ensembl:lncRNA